ACGGUAACAGGAAGAAGCUUGCUUCUUUGCUGACGAGUGGCGGACGGGUGAGUAAUGUCUGGGAAACUGCCUGAUGGAGGGGGAUAACUACUGGAAACGGUAGCUAAUACCGCAUAACGUCGCAAGACCAAAGAGGGGGACCUUCGGGCCUCUUGCCAUCGGAUGUGCCCAGAUGGGAUUAGCUUGUUGGUGGGGUAACGGCUCACCAAGGCGACGAUCCCUAGCUGGUCUGAGAGGAUGACCAGCCACACUGGAACUGAGACACGGUCCAGACUCCUACGGGAGGCAGCAGUGGGGAAUAUUGCACAAUGGGCGCAAGCCUGAUGCAGCCAUGCCGCGUGUAUGAAGAAGGCCUUCGGGUUGUAAAGUACUUUCAGCGGGGAGGAAGGGAGUAAAGUUAAUACCUUUGCUCAUUGACGUUACCCGCAGAAGAAGCACCGGCUAACUCCGUGCCAGCAGCCGCGGUAAUACGGAGGGUGCAAGCGUUAAUCGGAAUUACUGGGCGUAAAGCGCACGCAGGCGGUUUGUUAAGUCAGAUGUGAAAUCCCCGGGCUCAACCUGGGAACUGCAUCUGAUACUGGCAAGCUUGAGUCUCGUAGAGGGGGGUAGAAUUCCAGGUGUAGCGGUGAAAUGCGUAGAGAUCUGGAGGAAUACCGGUGGCGAAGGCGGCCCCCUGGACGAAGACUGACGCUCAGGUGCGAAAGCGUGGGGAGCAAACAGGAUUAGAUACCCUGGUAGUCCACGCCGUAAACGAUGUCGACUUGGAGGUUGUGCCCUUGAGGCGUGGCUUCCGGAGCUAACGCGUUAAGUCGACCGCCUGGGGAGUACGGCCGCAAGGUUAAAACUCAAAUGAAUUGACGGGGGCCCGCACAAGCGGUGGAGCAUGUGGUUUAAUUCGAUGCAACGCGAAGAACCUUACCUGGUCUUGACAUCCACAGAACUUUCCAGAGAUGGAUUGGUGCCUUCGGGAACUGUGAGACAGGUGCUGCAUGGCUGUCGUCAGCUCGUGUUGUGAAAUGUUGGGUUAAGUCCCGCAACGAGCGCAACCCUUAUCCUUUGUUGCCAGCGGUCCGGCCGGGAACUCAA
rnacentral:rRNA from 1 species